rnacentral:tRNA from 1 species
UCCUUAGUAGCUCAGUUGGUAAAGAGUCUGCCUGUAGUGCAGGAGACCUUGGUUCAAUCCCUGGGUCAGGAA